CACUUCUUUAGAGCUCCCCUCCCUCUUCUCUCCCUCAUAUUCUCUUAGUUUUCCUUUCUAGUUCUCUAUUGUUGUAACAAGACCCUUUUUACUAAAUUUUCCUUCAAGUUUUUGAGUUCUAAUUUAAUUUUCAUUUUAAUGGAAAAUGAAUUGAAUCAAUCUAUCAUCAAUCCUCGGGGGAUCGACCUCGCACUUACAUAUGCUAUACUACCGAACGCUUGUGCACUUCAGAGUAUCACAAGUUAAGGAUGCAGCUGAAUCAAUUAUGGAGCAGUUGAUCUGACGACAACAUUAAGUGAUUGCAAGUCUUUUGGCACCAAACAUGCAGUCUAAUGAAGGCACUUUCAACUCAUCUCCUAAUUUGCUUCAAUUUGAGUUUAUUUUUUCAGUCAAAUGUACUUGUUUAAAAGUGAAAGGCAAAAACUUCACAAUUUGUUAAGCUAAGGUUAGGGAAGAAUUUGUUUCACGUAAGAUGUAUGGACCUCUCAAUGUACUAGAUUGCUCUUACAGCUCACUUUGUGGACCAAGAUUGGA